GCAACCUGGUUGAUCCUGCCAGUAGCAUACGCUUGUCUCAAAGAUUAAGCCAUGCAUGUCUUAGUGUAAAUAACUCUUAUGAAACUGCGAAUGGCUCAUUAUAUCAGUUAUAGUCUACUCGACAGUACCUUACUACUUGGAUAACCGUAGUAAUUCUAGAGCUAAUACAUGCAUAAAUACCCAACUGCUUGUCG
rnacentral:rRNA from 1 species